rnacentral:rRNA from 1 species
AAACUCAAAGGAAUUGACGGGACCCGCACAAGCGGUGGAUGAUGUGGUUUAAUUCGAUGCAACGCGAAAACCUUACCCACCUUUGACAUGUACGGAAGCCUUUAGAGAUAGAGGCGUGCUCGAAAGAGAGCCGUAACACAGGUGCUGCAUGGCUGUCGUCAGCUCGUGUCGUGAGAUGUUGGGUUAAGUCCCGCAACGAGCGCAACCCUUGUCAUUAGUUGCUACAUUCAGUUGGGCACUCUAAUGAGACUGCCGGUGACAAGCCGGAGGAAGGUGGGGAUGACGUCAAGUCCUCAUGGCCCUUAUAGGUGGGGCUACACACGUCAUACAAUGGCUGGUACAAAGGGUUGCCAACCCGCGAGGGGGAGCUAAUCCCAUAAAGCCAGUCGUAGUCCGGAUCGUAGUCUGCAACUCGACUACGUGAAGUCGGAAUCGCUAGUAAUCGUGGAUCAGAAUGUCACGGUGAAUACGUUCCCGGGUCUU